rnacentral:rRNA from 1 species
AGAGUUUGAUCCUGGCUCAGGACGAACGCUGGCGGCGUGCCUAACACAUGCAAGUCGAACGGAGAUAAAGAUUUCGGUUUUUAUCUUAGUGGCGCACGGGUGAGUAACACGUGAAUAACCUGACCCAAAGAGGGGGAUAACACCUGGAAACAGGUGCUAAUACCGCAUAAGACCACAAUGUCGCAUGACGAAGGGGUCAAAGAAAAUCGCUUUGGGAGGGGUUCGCGUCCCAUUAGGUAGUAGGCGGGGUAACGGCCCACCUAGCCGACGAUGGGUAGCCGAGCUGAGAGGCUGAUCGGCCACACUGGAACUGAGACACGGUCCAGACUCCUACGGGAGGCGGCAGUGGGGGAUAUUGGGCAAUGGGCGCAAGCCUGACCCAGCAACGCCGCGUGAGGGAAGAAGGUUUUCGGAUUGUAAACCUCUGUCGCAGAAGACGAAGGAAGUGACGGUAUUCUGUGAGGAAGCCCCGGCUAACUACGUGCCAGCAGCCGCGGUAAUACGUAGGGGGCGAGCGUUGUCCGGAAUUACUGGGCGUAAAGGGAGCGUAGGCGGUCUGAUAAGUUGGAUGUGAAAUACCCGGGCUUAACUUGGGGGGUGCAUCCAAUACUGUUGGACUAGAGUACAGGAGAGGAAAGCGGAAUUCCUAGUGUAGCGGUGAAAUGCAUAGAUAUUAGGAGGAACAUCGGUGGCGAAGGCGGCUUUCUGGACUGCAACUGACGCUGAGGCUCGAAAGCGUGGGGAGCAAACAGGAUUAGAUACCCUGGUAGUCCACGCUGUAAACGAUGAUUACUAGGUGUGGGGGGACUGACCCCUUCCGUGCCGCAGUUAACACAAUAAGUAAUCCACCAGGGGAGUACGGCCGCAAGGUUGAAACUCAAAGGAAUUGACGGGGGCCCGCACAAGCAGUGGAGUAUGUGGUUUAAUUCGAAGCAACGCGAAGAACCUUACCAGGUCUUGACAUCGAGUGCAUAACUAAGAGAUUAGUGAAAUCCCUUCGGGGACACUUAGACAGGUGGUGCAUGGUUGUCGUCAGCUCGUGUCGUGAGAUGUUGGGUUAAGUCCCGCAACGAGCGCAACCCUUACCUUUAGUUGCUACGCAAGAGCACUCUAAAGGGACUGCCGUUGACAAAACGGAGGAAGGUGGGGAUGACGUCAAAUCAUCAUGCCCCUUAUGACCUGGGCUACACACGUACUACAAUGGCAAUCAACAAAGAGAAGCAAGACAGUGAUGUGGAGCAAAUCUCAAAAAAUUGUCCCAGUUCAGAUUGUAGGCUGCAACUCGCCUACAUGAAGUCGGAAUUGCUAGUAAUCGCGGAUCAGAAUGCCGCGGUGAAUACGUUCCCGGGCCUUGUACACACCGCCCGUCACACCAUGGGAGUCGGUAACACCCGAAGUCGGUAGUCUAACAGCAAUGAGGACGCCGCCGAAGGUGGGAUUGAUGACUGGGGUGAAGUCGUAACAAGGUA